UGGGGAAUUUUGGACAAUGGGGGCAACCCUGAUCCAGCCAUCCCGCGUGUGCGAUGAAGGCCUUCGGGUUGUAAAGCACUUUUGGCAGGAAAGAAAUGGCCCUGGAUAAUACCUGGGGCAGAUGACGGUACCUGCAGAAUAAGCACCGGCUAACUACGUGCCAGCAGCCGCGGUAAUACGUAGGGUGCAAGCGUUAAUCGGAAUUACUGGGCGUAAAGCGUGCGCAGGCGGUUCGGAAAGAAAGAUGUGAAAUCCCAGGGCUUAACCUUGGAACUGCAUUUUUAACUACCGAGCUAGAGUGUGUCAGAGGGAGGUGGAAUUCCGCGUGUAGCAGUGAAAUGCGUAGAGAUGCGGAGGAACACCGAUGGCGAAGGCAGCCCCCUGGGAUAACACUGACGCUCAUGCACGAAAGCGUGGGGAGCAAACAGGAUUAGAUACCCCCGUAGUCC
rnacentral:rRNA from 1 species